rnacentral:rRNA from 1 species
AGUUCGAUUAUGUCAGAUUGAACGGUUGCGAUGUUUACAUGCAAGUCGAACGGCAGCACGGACUUCGGUCUGGUGGCGAGUGUGGCGAACGGGUGAGGCAAUGCAUCGAACGUGCCUAGUGUAAAGGGAUAAUCAUGAAAGCGCAGCUAAUACCGGCCAUUAUUCUUCGGGGGGAAAGCGGGGGACCUUCGGGCCUCGCACUAUUAGAGCGGCCGAUAUCGAUUACUAGUUAUGGGGCAAUUGCUCAAUGGCGGCGACGAUCCGUAGCUGGUUUGAGAGGACGACCAGCCACAGCACUGGGGACUGAGACACGCUCAGACUCCUACGGGAGGCAGCAGGUGGGGAAUUUUGGACAAUGGGGGAAACUGAUCCAGCCAUCCGCGUGCGAUGAAGGCCUUUGUGGGUUGUGUAAAGCACUUUUGGCAGGAAAGAAACGGUACGCGAUAAUACCCCGUGCAACUGACGGUACCUGCAGAAUAAGCACCGGCGCCACAACUACGUGCCAGCAGCCGCGGUAAUACGUAGGGUGCAAGCGUUAAUCGGAAUUACUGGGCGUAAAGCGUGCGCAGGCGGUUCGGAAAGAAAGAUGUGAAAUCCCCAGAGCUUAACUUUGGAACUGCAUUUUUAACUACCGAGCUAUAGAGUGUGUCAGGAGGGAGGUGGAAUUCGCGUGUAGCAGUGAAAUGCGUAGAUAUGCGGAGGAACACCGGAUGGCGAAGGCAGCCUCUGGGAUAACACCGACGCUCAUGCACGAAAGCGUGGGGAGCAAACAGGAUUAGAUACCCUGGUAGUCCACGCCCUAAAACGAUGUCAUCAUUGUUGGGGCUCUCGGGCCUGGAAAGCAGUUAACGCGUAAGUUGACCGGCUUGGGGAGGUACGGUCGCAAGAUUAAAACUCAAAGGAAUUGACGGGGACCCGCAAUAAAGCGGUGGAUGAUGUGGAUUAAUUCGAUGCAACGCGAAAAACCUUACCUACCUGACAUGUCUGAAUCCCGAAGAGAUUUGGGAGUGCUCGCAAGAGAACCGGAACACAGGUGCUGGCAUGGCUGUCGUCAGUUCGUGUCGUGAGAUGUUGGGUUAAGUCCUGCAACGAGCGCAACCCUUGUCAUUAGUUGCUACGAAAGGGCACUCUGGUCGAGAUCUGCCGGUGACAAACCGGAGGAAGGUGGGGAUGACGUCAAAGUCCUCAUGGCCCUACGGGUAGGGCUUCACACGUCAUACAAUGGUCGGGACAGAGGGUCGCCAACCCGCGAGGGGGAGCCAAUCCCAGAAACCCGAUCGUGGGCUGGAUCGCAGUUCGCAACUCGACUGCGUGUAGUCGGAAUCGCUAGUAAUCGGGGUGGAUCAGCAUGUCGCGGUGAAUACGUUCCCGGGUCCUGUACACACCGCCCGUCACACCAUGGGAGUGGGUUUUACCAGAAGUAGUUAGCCUAACCGUAAGGAGGGCGAUUGGCCACGGUAGGAUUCAUGACUGAUCGGGUGAAGUCGUAACAAGGU